rnacentral:rRNA from 1 species
AACUGCAUAGCACCAUUGCUGCGGUUAAAAAGCUCGUAGUUGAAUCUAUGCCUGAGGCUUGGUCCACUCUUUGAGUCGGUACUAGGUUCUUUGGCUUUUCGUUGGUUUUCUUGUCGUGGCCUUUACUGGUGGCGGCAAGUGGCUGACAAUUUUACUUUGAACAAAUCAGAGUGCUCAAAACAGGCGUUUCGCUUGUAUGCUUUUGCAUGGAAUAAUAGAAUAUGACUUCGGUCUAGUUUUAUUGGUUUUAUAGAUCGUUGUAAUGAUUAAAAGAGACAAACGGGGGCAUUCGUAUUGUUGCGUGAGAGGUGAAAUUCUUGGACCGCAGCAAGACGAACUACAG